GGCCUCCUUGAGCUGUGGUGGGCUCCACCCAGUUGGAGCUUCCCAGCUGCUUUGUUUACCUAAUCAAGCCUGGGCAAUGGCGGGCGGCCCUCCUCCAGCCUCGCGGCCGCCUUGCAGUUUGAUCUCAGACUGCUGUGCUAGCAAUCAGCGAGACUCCAUGGGCAUAGGACCCUCCGAGCCAGGUGCCGGAUAUAAUCUGGUGGUGCGCCGUUUUUUAAGCCGGUCCGAAAAGCCCAAUAUUCGGGUGGGAGUGACCCGAUUUUCCAGGUAUGUCCGUCACCCCUUUCUUUGACUGGGAAAGGGAACUCCCUGACCCCUUGCGCUUCCUGAGUGAGGCAGUGCCUCGCCCUGCUUCGGCUCGCGCACGGUGAGCGCACCCACUGACCUGCGCCCACUGUCUGGCCCUCCCUAGUGAGAUGAACCCGGUACCUCAGAUGGAAAUGCAGAAAUCACCCGUCUUCUGCGUCGCUCACGCUGGGAGCUGUAGACCGGAGCUGUUCCUAUUCGGCCAUCCUACCUUUCUUCUUAAAGUUCCAAUGAGAUGCUAAAUGUUGCUUUUCUUUUUCUGGACUUUUGAUCACACAUGAUAGAAUCAAGACCAUUUGCACAAGGUAAGCUCAAAAAUUAGGGAACUGACUGGGACUUAGUUCAUCACUCACUUCUCCAGUUACAAUCAAAGUCAAGGAAAUUGACCAAGAGAUGACAGUAGUGGAGAUUCCUUAGAAAAAACAAACAAUGUGAAGUCCAUAUUCAAUCCAUACCUCUCUGGGGAAAGAUGAGAGCAUCUUUUCCCACACCCCAAAGUAACUAAGGUGAGCUUCAGGGAAUUAUAAGACAGACUGAUGUUAGAUUUCUUGAAUAUAAAUGGGACCAUAUAAAUUGGUUUUUACUCAUACCUGGAAAUGUCUAAAGAUUAAGAGCUGAAUAGAGCUACCCCUGAUUUCAGAGGAAAAGGAGAAGGCAAGAAUGGGAAUGCAGCUACCACCAAUAUCAUGGCAAAGAUGUGUGCUUCCUUUUGGCCAGCUAUGGACCCCAAGAAUGAAUACUGACUUGAUUUUGAAAAGGGCUUUAUUCAAAAGAAUCGUGGUGGUAUUUUGGGGAGAGGGGGUAAGACGCUAAAAAAAUUCUGUAUGGGUUAAUUAGUCAUAUGCUACUGCUAGAAAGUGAGGGGACAGGAGUAUGCUGUGAAAAUAAUCAGUUGCAUCAUCUAGAAAUAGAAGAUGCAAGUUAUCUCAAAGAUUAGUUCACUUAAUGAUCCACAAAAGCUUUUUUGUUUUUCUUUUAAGACAGGAUUUUACUCCUAUUGCCCAGGCUGGAAGUCAGUGGAGCAAACACGGCUGACUCACUGCAGCCUCAACCUUUUGGGCUCAAGCGAUCCUCCUGCCUCUCCUGGGACUACCGACGGUGCCAUACCCAGCUAAUUUUAUAAAUAUUUGUAGAGACAGUUUCACUAUGUUAGCCAGGCUGGUUUCAAACCCCUGGACUCAAGAUAUCCUCCAGAAUUGACUUCCCUAACUGCUGGGAUUACAGGCAUGAGCCACCAAGCCUGGCCUCGCAAAAGCUUUUUGAGUGGGGAAAAAUACUGUGUUUGGAGAGCUAUCAUAUAUGACGAUGUUUUCAAGAGUUAAAUACUGAGAUGUUGCAACAUGAGACUUUUUAUUUGUUUGUUCUUCCUUUCCCCCUCUUUUAUACCUCCCCAUUCUGUGACAGUUUGGAGGAACUAGAAACAACGCGGGGAAUGGAGGGAAAAUUGCAAAGCCAAAAUGAAUAAUAGAAAAGAAUGCACCCGGCGGGGCUCGGUGGCUCACGCCUGUAAUCCCAGCACUUUGGGAGGCCAAGGCGGGUGGAUUACGAGGUCAGGCGAUCGAGACCAUCCUGGCUAACAGGGUGAAACCCCGUCUCUACUAAAAAUACAAAAAAAAAUUAGCCAGGCGUGGUGGCGGGCGCCUGUAGUCCCAGCUACUCCAGAGGCUGAGGUAGGAGAAUGGCAUGAACCCGGGAGGCGGAGCUUGCGGUGAGCCGAGAUCACGCCGCUGCACUCCAGCCUGGGCUACAAAGCGAGACUCCGUCUCAAAAAAAAAAAAAAAAAAAAGAAAAUAAUGCACCCCUUCUUUCCUGCCCAUCCCCUGUAGUUUAUGGAGCCUAAGUUAGGCCUGAACUUAAAGGGAGAAAAAUAUUUUAAAAUAUGAGAAAUAUAUAUUAGAUUGUACUAGACCUUUAGAACCUGAAAGACAACUUGUUAAUACCUUGAAGUUAUUGGAAAAUCUUGCUUAGAUAGAACUAGCAGCUGUGAUGAUGUGAAAGACUAAUGUUACAUUUUGCUUAAAACCUAGUAAGUCUGUUUCAUUCAAGAAACUAUCACUAUGUUAUAUACAAUCAAGUAGUACAAUGUUUCCCCCACACAGACUCUGAUAAUGAGCAAUAUUGUCCUUUGAUUUCAUAAAAUAAUAAUUGUAAGUAAUUGUUAGUAAUUUUAGUAAUUAAUGUAAAUGGUUUAUCAUAUAUUGUUGAAAGAUAUAUUAAAUGCAUUGUUGAGAGAUUAACAUAUCUUGUAAUGUAAAUGCUUUAUCACACAUUGUUGAAAGAU
rnacentral:lncRNA from 1 species